rnacentral:rRNA from 1 species
UACGAAGGGGGCUAGCGUUGUUCGGAUUUACUGGGCGUAAAGCGCACGUAGGCGGAUCUUUAAGUCAGAGGUGAAAUCCCGGAGCUCAACUUCGGAACUGCCUUUGAUACUGGGGAUCUCGAGUUCGGGAGAGGUGAGUGGAACUGCGAGUGUAGAGGUGAAAUUCGUAGAUAUUCGCAAGAACACCAGUGGCGAAGGCGGCUCACUGGCCCGUAACUGACGCUGAGGUGCGAAAGCGUGGGGAGCAAACAGG